rnacentral:rRNA from 1 species
AGCAGCCGCCGCGGGAAUACGUAGGUGGCAAGCGUUGUCCGGAAUUAUUGGGCGUAAAGGGCUCGCAGGCGGUUUCUUAAGUCUGAUGUGAAAGCCCCCGGCUCAACCGGGGAGGGUCAUUGGAAACUGGGAAACUUGAGUGCAGAAGAGGAGAGUGGAAUUCCACGUGUAGCGGUGAAAUGCGUAGAGAUGUGGAGGAACACCAGUGGCGAAGGUGACUCUCUGGUCUGUAACUGACGCUGAGGAGCGAAAGCGUGGGAGCGAACAGGAUUAGAUACCCGCGUAGUCCCUGUCUCUUAUACA